rnacentral:rRNA from 1 species
AGUGAACGCUGGCGGUAGGCCUAACACAUGCAAGUCGAACGGCAGCACAGUAAGAGCUUGCUCUUACGGGUGGCGAGUGGCGGACGGGUGAGGAAUACAUCGGAAUCUACUUUUUCGUGGGGGAUAACGUAGGGAAACUUACGCUAAUACCGCAUACGACCUACGGGUGAAAGCAGGGGAUCUUCGGACCUUGCGCGAUUGAAUGAGCCGAUGUCGGAUUAGCUAGUUGGCGGGGUAAAGGCCCACCAAGGCGACGAUCCGUAGCUGGUCUGAGAGGAUGAUCAGCCACACUGGAACUGAGACACGGUCCAGACUCCGACGGGAGGCAGCAGUGGGGAAUAUUGGACAAUGGGCGCAAGCCUGAUCCAGCCAUACCGCGUGGGUGAAGAAGGCCUUCGGGUGUAAAGCCCUUUUGUUGGGAAAGAAAAGCAGCAGGUUAAUACCCCGCUGUUCUGACGGUACCCAAAGAAUAAGCACCGGCUAACUUCGUG